ACCCAGAACUCGUCCGCGGGGUGGGUAAGUUCUCGAGGUCCAAAAUGUACCACAAGCGUGGUCUUUGGGCUCUCAAGGCCAAAAACGGCGGCGUCUUCCUUCGCCACGAUGCGAAGCCGGCAGCCGAGACCCAGCCUGAGAGGCCGCCCAAGUUCUACCCCGCCGACGACGUCAAGAAACCCCUCGUCAACAAACGCAAGCCCAGGCCCACCAAGCUCAGGGCUAGUGUUACAUCAGGGACGGUGCUGAUUGUUUAAGCUGGAAGGUUUAAGGGAAAGAGAGUUGUUUUUCUUAAUCAGCUUUCAUCUGGGCUACUUCUUGUUACUGGUUCCUUGGCCGUGAAUUCCACCCAAUGACGAUAACGUUGUUUUGUGGCGACA